rnacentral:lncRNA from 1 species
AAAGGAAUUAUGAACCGAUGCAAAGGUAAGUAGAUACAGAACAAUUUGCACUAUGGCAACAUAAAAAUGAACAAUUUUGGAGAUUCCUAUAAACUGACAAUGGAUAAAAUUAGAACUAAGAGAAUGAACUGAGUACUAAGAGAACAAUUUAAAUAAUAAUACUGAAAAGAUCAUGAUUUCAAAAGAAAGAUACUGCCUACCUCCUGAUAAAAAGGUGAUACAUUUCGCUAGGGGAUUUACAAACUUCACACCACAAACUAAUUCCCACAAGCCACCCAUUUUUAUGUAGACUGAAAGUUAAAAAUGAUUUUUACAUUUUUAGAUAAAGUUUUAGUUUAUUUUAAGAUGUAAAAAACAUUUUUGGUCCCUUGAAUACAAAAGAAACCUCCUUAUUUAAGGUACAAAAGUACUUUACAUAUACAUGUAAAUAUACAAAGGCAUAUAAUAUUGAAUACAGCCAAUGAAAACUUUAUAUUGCUUUACUCUGAAAAUCUGUUAUAAGAAAUGUUUAUCCUUUCUCUUUUUUUCCAAGUGGGAUAAGGGGUUAUGAUGUAAUGAAAAUAAAUUUCUAUUCAUCAAAACCAAUUUUUUUUCAAGGUUAGGAAGGAAUAUAGAUAUAAAAUGCAUGCAUUUUCAGCUCAGGUAACUAUUUUUAUUUUACUUAAUUGCUUUACUUUGCUACAAGAGAUGUCUUAUGGAGUGGCAGGACACUGAAUAUGUUUGUAAUAUAAAAAUAAAACAUGUUGAUAAACUUAAAAAACAAUCCCAGUGGAGACAAAGAACAGAAGAAAAAAACUGACCCUUGAGGGUCAACCCCAAGAUUGGAUCCAUUCCAAGAGUGAGCCCAGAAAUUCUUGAAGGGGAGGCUUCAGGAACAAGUUAUAUUUAUUAGUAUAAUGGGUGUAAGGUAAUACCUCAAAGUUGUUUUAAUUUGCAUCUCUGUGGUUAUUAGUAAGGUUGAGUAUUUCUCAAAUGAUCAUUAAUAAUAUCUGUUUCCUGUUUGGAAAAUUUUAUGAUUGUAUCUUUUGACCAUUUGUCCACCAUAGCAUGGAACUAGUUUUUGUUUUUGUUUUGUUUUGUUUUGAAUAAAUUGUGUCUCUCAUUCUCUUGUAUCAUGUCUCCAUUCUGAAAUACCAAAGCCAAUAUUACUUGUACAUACUCCUCAGCUACAUUUGCUUAUAUCUUUGUCUUUCCAACUAGCAUACAAGAGAAGCAAUGAGAUCUUUAAUCUGAUCUUUUUAAAAAAUGGAAUUUAUAGUAUAAAAUGGCUUUUUUUCCUUGCACCUUUUUUCUUUGCACCUAUGAUUCUAUGGAAAGUGAAUUUUCUCCAUUAGUAUAGAUCAGCAACUCAUCUGUCACUGACAAUUUUUCAGAUUAACAAUAAUAUGUGGAAGUAUUCAAAGUUUUAAAAAACUGGACAGGACUUUAUUUAUUACACCAAGGCUGCUUCUUAAAGUAUUUGUAAAUAUGCCAUUUCAUUAUAAUGACUCGGCUUACUAGUGCAGCAGGUUGACUCUCCUCAGGGACUGACAAGGUAUACUAUUUUGGGUGGGGGAAGGGAGCAGGAUUUCAGCCUAGAGCAGGGGUCCUCAAACUUCGGCCUGUGGGCCAGAUGCAGCCCGCUGAGGACGUUUAUGCGCCCCCGCUGGGUUAUGGCAAAAUCAGACCAGAAGUGACAUUUGACCUAAACUCGCAUUAGCAACACACACUUUUGGCACUGGGCUGAGGCAGCGGAGACAGAGUGUGAGGCGAUACAGAAGUGAGGUGAGUUCCCAGGCCGGGAUGUGUGGUGUGGGGAAGGGAGAGAUGCAGAAGAUGGAAAACUGACGGCCUGCGGCCUUGUACAGUAAUGGCAGCCACCACAACAGACAUGUACAAGGCAUGCUGCGCAUGUCACAGCCGCUGCAGGGGGAAUUUACUGCAGCAGUGAAGGUCAGAAAUGGGAGCACAAAGAUUGGGAGAGAGAGUGCAGGAAACAGAGGCAUCACAGAGCAGAGGCAGCUUGGAGGAAGUUGGGCAUUACAGUCUGUAUGUCUCUGUGUGGACAAAGUUAUUGCUGGUAUAUUGUUUUUGUAGCACUGUAUAUAUAUAUUGGUAUUUUACUAAUAGCAAUUUGGAAUCCCUAGGAAAUAAUAAUGUCAAGAAAAAGAAAAAUUGACUCGGAGUGUAGGAUAAUAAAAGAACAGUGGAUUUAUGAUUACUUUUUCAUGAAGUACAAGGAAAGAGCUAUAUGUCUGAUAUGCCAGAAUAUAGUGUCUGUGUUCAAAGAAUAUAAUUUGCAUGGACACUAUGAAGUUCAACAUAAAGAUAAAUAUGAUUGUUUGGUUGGAGAAGUGAGAAAAGAUAAAAUAUUAAAACUGAAAAAUACAUUGACAACUCAGCAAAAUACUUUUGUGAAGCAGAAGCAGUUAAAUAUUUCAUCACUGUGACCAAGUUUUCAAGUUGCCAAGCUAAUAGCAGACCAUUUGUGGAGGGAGAAUUUGUUAAAGAAUGCCUUCUUUCUGUUGCCAAAGAGAUGUGUCCAGAGAAGGCCGAUUUAUUUAGUAUAAUGAGUCUUUCAGGACCUACAAUUACACGGAGGAUUGAAGAAAUGGGAGACAAUUUGCAUCAGCAUUUGCAAAACUCCACAAAAAAAUUUCAUAUUUUUCCUUGGCACUUGACGAAAGCAAUGAUGUUUGUGAUUCUGCACAACUUCUAUUUUUAUUCGUAGGAUGAAUGAUUAUUUUGAAGUCAUAGAAGAGCUUGCUGCACUACAAAGCAUCAAAGGAACAACUACAGGAGAGGAUAUCUAUGAAAAGCUUUGCCAAACUAUGAAUGGUUCAGAGCUGGACUGGGCUAAACUAGCCAGCGUGACAACUGAUGGUGCUCCUAGCAUGGUGGGGUCUAAGAAAGGAGUAAUUGCUCGCAUUAACCAAGAGAUGGACAAACAUAACCAUUCUCAUCCAAUAGCCAUACACUGCCUCAUCCACCAACAAGCACUGUGUAGUAAAUCACUGAAGUGGGACUGUGUUAUGAAAAUUGUGGUAUCUUGUGUAAACUUCAUUAGAGCUAAUGCACUAAAUCAGACAAUUUCAGGAAUUUCUGUCUGAGCUAAAUGUUGAGUAUGACGAUGUUUUAUAUCACACAGAAAUCCAUUGACUAAGUUGAGGGAGAGUUUUGAAACAUUUCUAUGAUUUACUUCCACAGAUUACAACUUUUCUGCUUUCAAUGAUGCAGAAUGAAAAUGGCACCUUGCCUUUCUGACAGAUGUAACAGAGCUACUCAACAAUUUCAAUAUGCAACUUCAAGGAAAGGGGAAGCUCAUCUGUGUUAUUCAAUCACAUGUCAAAGCAUUUGAAGUAAAAUUAGGCCUCCUCAUCAAACAAGUGAAGGAGGAAAACUUUUGUCAUCUCCCCACAACUCAAAAUCUGUUAGCAGAAAAACCACUGUUUGCAUUCCCAAACAAAACAUGUGUGGAUUCACUGGAAAAAUUGCAAAAGGAGUUCCAAUUUAGAUUUAUAGAGCUUCAUCUCCAUGAACAGGACAUACAGCUUUUCUGUAACCCAUUUUCUAUUGACAUUGAAAAUGUGGAUACAAUUUACCAAAUGGGACUGGUUGAACUGCAGAAUUGUGACUCUCUGAAAGACACAUUCAAGUCAAGCAGCCUUCAUAAUUUCUAUGCAUCUCUCCCUUCUUAGACAUAUCCUCAUCUCAGGAACCAUGCACUCAAAAUGGCAACCAUCUUUGGCAGCACUUAUGUCUGUGAACAGACUUUUUCUAGAAUGAAACAUUUGAAAUCUCUAACCAGAUUAAGACUAACGGAUACACACUUGCAUCACUUGUUAUGACAAGCAGUGACAAAUAUGGAACCAGACAUCGACCAUCUCCUUAGCCAAAAGCAGGCCCAUAGUUCCCACUGAAAUACUGGUGAAUUAUUUGAUUUAACUUUACUUCAUUUUAAAUAUUGUAUUUGUUCCCAUUUUGUUUCUUCACUUCAAAGUAAGAUAUAUGCAGCGUGCAUAGAAAUUUGUUCAAAGUUUUUGUUUUUACUAUAGUCUGGCCCUCCAACAGUCUGAGGGACAGUGAACUGGCCCCUUAUUUAAAAAGUUUGAGGACCCUUGGCCUAGAACCAUCUAAAUACAGAGGCAUCUUAAGAGCUUAAAGUAAAUAGAAUUGAUUUUGUUCUUGCAUUAAAAGUAUCCCCUACAUUCCUGUCAGUUCUAAAUUUACUUUCUCCUUUAGACACACACAGAAGAGUCAUGAGGCUGAUGUGUCUUUACCAUGUUUAUUCCCAGUCCCUGCCCCCAUCAGAAUUUGAUUGUAUUCAUUUUUUUGUCUUUUUUCUAGCUAGCUUUUUUCCCUCUUAACUUUUUUUCUCUCUUAACGGAGCAUCUAUUACUCACUAUAUUUGCAAUGUUUGUUUCAUUUCCAUCUCUACUAUUUGCAUUUUUCUUUUUAUCACUUUUUUCCUCUUUAUCCUGUGGCCUUUUCUACCAUUUCACUGAUCAGCUGACCCUAAUAAAAUGAAAGAAAUGAAAAUUUUCUUUUCUUAAUGGUCUACUGACUGGUAUUACAUCAAAUCAAAAAAAGUGGUGGAAAUGAAUUUUCACAUCCUCACAGCUGCUUUCAUUUCUAUUCUAUUCUGGUAUUCUCACUUUUCUACCAGAGAUACUGUUAAGGAAAACAAAAACAGUAACCAACUUUCAGGUUUGGCACUGUGCUGGGUAUAUGAGGCUGCUAGCUAUCUGACUUGGUUGGGGGUAUUGAUGUAAAAGGAAAUAGAAAAUACACAAUUUAAAAUAGCACUGUUUGCAACUAGAGGACUCAUUCCUACAAUUAAGAGAAACAAGCAGCAGCAGCAUACCUACAAUUCAGAGCAGCAUACCUGAAUAUAAAAACACUAAUGAUUGAAGUGAAUUCUUUCAAAUUCAAGAAUGCUGAAUUGGUUAAAAUUUAUCUAUAGAGAAUGCCCCACCAUCCUACAUGAGGAGACCAUUUCCA